rnacentral:tRNA from 1 species
GGGUGGUUAGCUCAGUUGGCUAGAGCAUUCCGUUGACAUCGGAAAGGUCGUUGGUUCGAAUCCAAUGCUACCCA